rnacentral:snoRNA from 1 species
UAAUGAUGGUGAGGGCAUUUUUCAGAAUACUUUUAAAUCUCUCCCAAGCUUGGUAGAGAUUAUCUCCUUCUUUCUGUCUAAAACUCAGAAUCUUGCUUCUCAGACG